rnacentral:rRNA from 1 species
AGUCUGCAACUCGACUACANGAAGCUGGAAUCGCUAGUAAUCGCGAAUCAGCAUGUCGCGGUGAAUACGUUCCCGGGUCUUGUACACACCGCCCGUCACACCAUGGGAGUUGGUAACGCCCGAAGCCAGUGACCCAACCCGAGAGGGAGGGAGCUGUCGAAGGUGGGACCAUAACUGGGGUGAAGUCGUAACAAGGUAAC